rnacentral:rRNA from 1 species
AGUGAACGCUGGCGGUAGGCCUAACACAUGCAAGUCGAACGGCAGCACAGUAAGAGCUUGCUCUUACGGGUGGCGAGUGGCGGACGGGUGAGGAAUACAUCGGAAUCUACUUUUUCGUGGGGGAUAACGUAGGGAAACUUACGCUAAUACCGCAUACGACCUACGGGUGAAAGCAGGGGAUCUUCGGACCUUGCGCGAUUGAAUGAGCCGAUGUCGGAUUAGCUAGUUGGCUGGGUAAAGGCCCACCAAGGCGACGAUCCGUAGCUGGUCUGAGAGGAUGAUCAGCCACACUGGAACUGAGACACGGUCCAGACUCCUACGGGAGGCAGCAGUGGGGAGUAUUGGACAAUGGGCGCAAGCCUGAUCCAGCCAUACCGCGUGGGUGAAGAAGGCCUUCGGGUUGUAAAGCCCUUUUGUUGGGAAAGAAAAGCAGCAGGUUAAUACCCCGCUGUUCUGACGGUACCCAAAGAAUAAGCACCGGCUAACUUCGUG